rnacentral:rRNA from 1 species
UACGAAGGGGGCUAGCGUUGCUCGGAAUCACUGGGCGUAAAGCGCACGUAGGCGGACUCUUAAGUCAGGGGUGAAAUCCUGGAGCUCAACUCCAGAACUGCCUUCGAUACUGUAGAGCUUGAGACCGGAAGAGGUAAGUGGAACUGCGAGUGUAGAGGUGAAAUUCGUAGAUAUUCGCAAGAACACCAGUGGCGAAGGCGGCUUACUGGUCCGGUUCUGACGCUGAGGCGCGAAAGCGUGGGGAGCAAACAGG